GUCAUUUCUGCGAUUGGACUUGGGGAAUAAGAAUCACUGUAAAGGAGAGAUUUUACAAGAAAAUAUCGAAGUCCACAUCUAAUAUUUAUUUUAUUAAAUUUAAAAUUAAUUUUUAAGAUCUCAAUAUUUUUUUAGAUUUUAUUUGGCAUCAUUUUCAUUUAAAAAAAUCAAAAAUUUAUUUUUUAGUUCUGUUUUUCAAAAUUAUGCAUACAUUCUAUAUAGAUAAUUAUUUUUAAAACUUAAAUAUCAAUGGUGAUGGAUACAAUGAAUAGUUGCAACAGUCGUAGUAAUGGUGAUGGUGGUGUCGAUAAUAACUAGUGUUGGAAUAAAACUGACCUAUCUGAUGAUAUGUUCGACCUUUGAAGAUAUAGCAGACAUAUGACAUUAUGAUGCGAAUAAUUAGACGUAUGUGCACUGCGUAGCAAUGGUGUUAUCGACAGAUGACCGACCACAUGUGGUUGGAUCUUGGACGAAGUCAACCUCAUUGAUAGUUGGAAGAAGUCAAAAUCAUCGGCUUUUAGCCGAUCGGACCUUAUCGUCGCCCCG
rnacentral:lncRNA from 1 species